rnacentral:rRNA from 1 species
GACGAACGCUGGCGGCGUGCUUAACACAUGCAAGUCGAACGGAAAGGCCCUGCUUGCAGGGUACUCGAGUGGCGAACGGGUGAGUAACACGUGGGUGAUCUGCCCUGCACUUCGGGAUAAGCCUGGGAAACUGGGUCUAAUACCGGAUAGGAGCCAUUUUUAGUGUGAUGGUUGGAAAGUUUUUUCGGUGUAGGAUGAGCUCGCGGCCUAUCAGCUUGUUGGUGGGGUAAUGGCCUACCAAGGCGGCGACGGGUAGCCGGCCUGAGAGGGUGGACGGCCAAAUUGGGACUGAGAGACGGCCCAGACUCCUACGGGAGGCAGCAGUGGGGAAUAUUGCAAAAUGGGCGCAAGCCUGAUGCAGCGACGCCGCGUGGGGGAUGACGGCCUUCGGGUUGUAAACUCCUUUCGCUAGGGACGAAGCUUUUUGUGACGGUACCUAGAUAAGAAGCACCGGCUAACUACGUG